GACAGCAGUCGCCACGGUAAUACGGAGGGUGCAAGCGUUAUCCGGAUUUAUUGGGUUUAAAGGGUCCGUAGGCGGAUCUGUAAGUCAGUGGUGAAAUCUCACAGCUUAACUGUGAAACUGCCAUUGAUACUGCAGGUCUUGAGUAAAUUUGAAGUGGCUGGAAUAAGUAGUGUAGCGGUGAAAUGCAUAGAUAUUACUUAGAACACCAAUUGCGAAGGCAGGUCACUAAGAUUUAACUGACGCUGAUGGACGAAAGCGUGGGGAGCGAACAGGAUUAGAUACCCCCGUAGUCCCUGUCUCUUAUAC
rnacentral:rRNA from 1 species